UACGUAGGUGGCAAGCGUUGUCCGGAUUUACUGGGCGUAAAGAGCGCGCAGGCGGUCGUUCAAGUCGCGUGUGAAAGCCCCCGGCUCAACUGGGGAGGGUCACGCGAUACUGAUCGACUCGAAGGCAGGAGAGGGUAGUGGAAUUCCCGGUGUAGUGGUGAAAUGCGUAGAUAUCAGGAGGAACACCGGUGGCGAAGGCGGGUCUCUGGGCAACUACUGACGCUGAGGAGCGAAAGCGUGGGGAGCGAACAGG
rnacentral:rRNA from 1 species